AUGAUUUUGAUGAAGAGUAUAUGGGGGGGCGUGGUGUAUGUGUUACUGGGAGCACUUCAGAUCUUUGGGACGGUGGGAGGACCUGAGAGGGAGGAACAAAAGUGGUUUUGUUUGAGGAUGCCUAGUGGACCCGGCAUCUGCCGAAGCCCUCACCCGGGAACACAGGGAGCUGUUUGCUUGUUUACAACAAAGACCGCAUGCCCUGCUGCGCCUGCUGCUAACCAAGAGGAACAGCGGCUUCUUAAAUCCUUGCCUACGAUGGUCCAGCAAGCCCAGACGUCCUGUCGCCUUCUCACCUCCUCUGCUGAGAGCUACAGAUCUUCCGAUGACAGACAAGGAGGGGAUGUGCGAAUGGUGUGAUUGUGUCUUCAGUUUAUUGUGUUUCCAGGAAUUGUGGACCCCCAGUUUCUAUGAGAUGAGAAUCUGGCAAUUAGUGAGUUAAUAAAAAUCCUUCUCUUUAGGGUCCUGCCUGCGUUUGUUCCCAUUUCCUCUGGGGGACACAGACAGAGACAGAGAGAGAGAGGAGGUAUGAGAGCAGAAGAGCCUCUCAAAGACUGAGAGAGAUCGCUGCUGUAACUUAGUCAUCACCACUGACUUUGUUGCCUCAGGCAAUCAAAGCUGCUACUGCCCAGCCCACAACCUGACCUGUGGCCACCUUCACAACAGUUACAACCGUAGCACUCUCCAGGUACCAGCAAGCACACCCACUGUGUGCUUCUGCAAGCUGCCCUGGGCCUCCUCUGGUGGGGGGUGGUGCCUUAGGUCAUGGUAAGCUGAAAGCAACUUGAAGCUCGU
rnacentral:lncRNA from 1 species